UUUGCCUGUGAGGGCGUCUCCUCCCUCGACUCUCAGCGUUCCUUGACUUUUUGGUCUGGCUCGCUUUUUGUUUUGAGCCAGGUGCACAACAGAUAAUACAAAACCUUGUAAGAGUCCAGAAAGACCUUCCCCAGUGUCUGCUGUAAUGCCUGAAACCUCCAUCAUUAGAAUUUCUCCCAUUUGUGAGCCUGGAAAUUACAGAGUUGAUGACAGGGGAAACCACUUCUCUCUGAAGAUGAAAUCUGAGUUUGUACUGUAGAUCACACAGGGCUGUGAUAGAGAACAUAAAAGCUUCGAUUCUGCCGUUGAGAGUUCUGCAUGGCACCUGACUCACCCAAAAGACUUAAUGUCCUUCCCCAUUAGGAAAAUUAGUCCCGGAGAGGUAAAGUGACUUUCCAAGGGUACGAAGUUCCCAAAUAAGGUGCAGAAGAAGCCGAAAUAACUUGGUGGCAAUGGUGGUGUCGAAGGAGACUUCCAGUGGCUUCAGGGACAAUGAGAAACAGAGGCAUAGUAACUGCAAACUCUUCUGAGUUCUGUCUUUCUCACCAUUUCUGAGGGCUGUGGGCUUCUCAUGAAUCCACCUCCCAGAGGCACUG